rnacentral:rRNA from 1 species
GUCCACGCCGUAAACGAUGAAUGCUAGGUGUUAGGGGUUUCGAUACCCUUGGUGCCGAAGUUAACACAUUAAGCAUUCCGCCUGGGGAGUACGGUCGCAAGACUGAAACUCAAAGGAAUUGACGGGGACCCGCACAAGCAGUGGAGUAUGUGGUUUAAUUCGAAGCAACGCGAAGAACCUUACCAGGUCUUGACAUCCCUCUGACCGGCUUAGAGAUAGGCCUUUCCUUCGGGACAGAGGAGACAGGUGGUGCAUGGUUGUCGU